rnacentral:misc_RNA from 1 species
AUUUCCCCAAUGGGUUCUCCGGAUUUCUGGAGACUUGUAGGGGUUGUGGGAUUUUUGAUGUGUCGUCUCCGGACGGGCGGUGCAGGGUAGUCGAGCUAGACUUGGUGGAAUUCCAUCGAUAGGAGUUCCGUCGAGUCUGGUCGGCUGUGUGUUGGACGGUGCAGGGUAGGCUGCUUGGACAUGGUCGGUUCGAGGAUCGAUUCGAGGGCCGGCGCCUGUCGAUGAUGUGUGAUGUAUGCGGUCUAGGGUAGGCUGGUUUGUCUUGGUUCAAUUUGAUGUCGGCUCCCGUGCAGGCCAGAGUGAGGUAGGUACAGGGUAGGCAGCUUAUAUUUGGUCGAUCUGGAGGUCGAUUCUCCGGUUGGCGGAUCUGACACUGUCGAAACGAGAUGCGAGCGGUGUAGGGUAGGCUAGUUUCGUCCUCGCCAGGUUGCGACUUGGACGAGAUAUGUGGUCUAGGGUAGGCUCUAGGGUAAGUAGAAUUCGAGUUUCGUCGCCGAUAGUUUUCUGUGGGUGUAUGGUAGGUGCAGGGUAGGCAAAUCUCUCUCCGGCCAGUACUUGUCUGGUGGUCGUGAGUCGAUUUUUUUGUUUU